ensembl:lncRNA
UAAAAUAGACACUAAAAAACAAUUACAAACCAGCCAUAAUUGUAUAGUUGUAUCUGUUUAAAUAGGGGCCCCUGGUGGCACAGUGUGUUAAAGCGCUGAGCUGCUGAACCUGCGGACCAAAAGGUCCCAGGUUCACAUCCCGUGAGCGGAAUGAGCGCCCGCUGUUAGCCCCAGCUCCUGCCAACCUAGCAGUUCGAAAACAUGCAAAUGUGAGUAGAGCAAUAGGUACUGCUCCGGCGGGAAGGUAACAUUGGCGCUCCAUGCAGUCAUGCCGGCCACAUGACUUUGGAGGUGUCUACGGACAACGCCGGCUCUUAGGCUUAGAAAUGGAGAUGAGCACCAAUCUCCAGAGUUGGUCAGGACUGGACUUAACAUCAGGGGAAACAUUAUCUGUUUUAAUAUUGUCUCUCAAUUGCUGACUAUGUAAUGUAUGUUGUUAUUUUGAUUGGAAACCGCCCUGAGUCCCCACGGGGAGAUAGGGCGGUAUAUAAAUAAAGUUUUAUUAUUAUUAUUUAUUAUAUAACUCUACGCUGACCAUAUAAUGCAGCUUUCAAACUGACUUUUGAAAGCCGCAGCUAGCCAAAAAAUGCAUAAAAUGGUUAGAGUAGAUGAGGCCUAAGAGCAGGACUCGCUGCUGACCUUAGCGAAAUGAACCCGCAAGCUCACAUUCAACAUGAGUUCUUCCUUAUGGAGUCUAUGAUAAUCAGCCUCUCCUUCCGCCUUUCUUUAGCCGCGCGCACGCCGCCUUUUGUGACGAUAACAGAGGUCUGGCCAAUCAACGGCCUUCUCUCCGGAGCGCGCGCGCGCGCUCGCGGGGAAGGUGAAGUUUUGAAAUAAUUUGGAGGGAGCGGCCUGAGGAAAAGGUCGGGGUUUCCUUAGUUUUUGGCUUCGGAAGUGGAUGAGCGGAAUGCCGCAAUGAGUCACUUAAGAAAUUACAGAACAAGAUACAUCAACAAAGAAAGGCAAGGGAAACCUGUUGACAUACCAGGAGAUGAGGUGUUGAAAUAUAUACAAGACUGCUUUGAAAAUUGUGCCAAAAACCUUGCGGUAUGUUCUCCUGCUGUAUCGUGUUCAUCGUCCUCUACUCUUCAGCAGGAUCAAGAUGAAUUUCCAUUUGAAAGCGAAGAGAAAGAACAACCAGAGCCAGAAAUAUGUCUGCCAAAUGAAUUUAAUGCUGUCUCUUGUGUACUAUCACCAAAUAAUAAAGACAAAAGUCCUGGUGAGAAUGUAUCAGAAGAUGAUGAAGAAUCAAAUAUCGGGGAUUUUCUGGAGGAUGAUAUUGAUAUCUUGGCCUUAGGAUCACCUGCUCUCAUACAGCUUGAUGAAAAUUUUGAAGAAAUAAAUGCAGCCAAUGUGGAUCCAGAAGGUGACUGUGAAUUUUUGAUAGAGGACUCAAUUGGGAUGUCUUCCAGAUCUUUGGUUUCAGCAUCUCAAAAGAAACAAAAGCAACAAAGAAAGGAUGUAAUAUCUGCACCAUCUGGAUCAAAAAAGGAAGCAAAUAAGCCUAGUUUGAGAAAAAUAGAUAGUAAUGCUUCAGAAAAACCUGUCCCACCAAGCCUAGUAAACCAAACCAAGAUGAAGUCAACAAAUGUUGCUGAAGCCACUGCUGGUAGGUUGAAAAAUAUUUCACUGACUAGUGAAAUGAUGUCUUUAAUAGAUGACCAGCCAUUGCUGGUUUUAAAUACCUUCCAAGAAGAAAGACAGAAAAUACACUCCAAAGGUAUGGCGUCAAAAGAAAUAAGCAACAAAAUUCCUGCAGGUAUAAAUAACACAGAGGACCAUGUAGCCUUAUUGGAAGAGAAUGACAGUGCUUCAAUACAAUCACAACCUGUUUUAGGGACAGAAGAAUCAUCAUCCAAUGGUAAGGGAACUGUGAAACACAAGCACUCAAAAACAAAAACUUCAAUAGAAAGGCAGAAUGAGGAGAACCAGAAGAAUGCCCCUGUCAUCAUGGACUUGGAGAAUAACAAGUCCUUCGAGAAUAUAGGUUCUGUUUUGAGACCCAUUUUAUCCAUGGAACCCUCAGAACAAAAGUCAUCCAAUAAAAAUUCUCAACCUGCAGGACUAAAGUCACAUAAUAAAAAACUCCUUAAAAAGCAAAAAAACCCAAGAACUGCACAAUCUGAAAAACAACCUCAAACUCAGAGGAGUGCCAUUAAAGAACCUGUUAUUAGACCCACUAGAAGGAAAAAGAUAGUACUGGCUUCAGAUGAGAGCUCUGAAACUGAACAUGAAGAUGAACACCUUAACAAAGGGGUUAAAAACUCCAACUCAUAUAAGCUAAACAAACCAAAUCAUUCAAGAGAGGCAUCUCAAAAAAGAAGACAGACUUCUUCAAAUUCUGAAGGUAGUGAUUGUGAAAGGGUAUCUUACCAAGAAGACGCUGUCUGUCUGACAGAAGAAAGAUUAUAUCCUUCUGAGAAGCAAGCAAAUAGCACUACAGAUUCAAUACAAAAUGCAGCCACUGUGGAUCCAGAAUAUGACUGUGAGUUUUUGAUAGAGGAGUCAUUUGGGAUGUCUUUUAGAUCUUUGAUUUCAGCAUCUCAAAAGAAACAACAGCCACAAAGAAAGAAUGUAAUAUCUGCACCAUCGGGAUCAAAAAAGGUGAAUAAGCCUAGUGUUAGAAAAAAAGAUAAAAAAACUUCAGAAAAGCCUGUCCCACAAAACCUAGUAAACCAAACAAAGAUAAAGUCAACAGAUGUUGCUGAAACCACUGUUGGUAGGUUGAAAAAUGUUUCAAUGACUAGUGAAAUUAUGCCUUUAAUAGAGGACCAGCAAUUGCUGGUUUUAAAUACCUCCCAAGAAGGAAGACAAAAUAUACACUCCAAAGGUGUGGCUGCAGAAGAAAUAAGUAGCACAAUUCCUGCAGGUAUAAAUAAGACAGAGAACCAUGCAGCCUUAUUGGAAGAGAAUGACAGUGCUUCAGUACAGUCACAACCUGUUUUAAGGACAGAAGAAUCAUCAUCCAAUGGUAAGGGAGCUGUGAAACAUAAACACUCAAAAACAAAAACUUCAGUAGAAAGGCAGAAUGAGGAGAACCAGGACAAUGCCCCUGUCAUCAUGGACUUUGAGAAUAACCAGCCGUUUGAGAAUAUAGACACGUACUCUGAACACUCAGAUUCUCUUUUGAGACCCAUUUUGUCUGUGGAACCUGCAGAACAAAAGCCAUCCAAUAAAAAUUCACAAUCUGCAGGACUAAAGUCAAAUAAUAAAAAACUACUUAAAAGGCAAAAACCUCCAAGAACUGCACAAUCUAAAAAACAACCCCAAACUCAGAGGAGUGCUAUUAAAGAAUCUGUUAUUAGACCCACGAGAAGGAAGAAGAUAGUACUGGUUUCAGAUGAGAGCUCUGAAACUGAACAUGAAGAUGAACACCAUGACAAAGGGGUUAAAAACUAUUCAUAUGAGCUAAAAAAACCAAAUAAUUCAAGAGAGGCAUCUCAAAAAAGAAGACAGGCUUCUUUAAUAAGUUCUGAAGAUAGUGAUUGUGAAAGGGUAUCUUACCAAGAAGAUUCUUUCUGUCUGACAGAAGAAAGAUUAUAUUCUGAGAAGCAAUCAAAUAGCACUGCAGAUUCAUUACAGUAA